GAUGAACGCUGGCGGCGUGCCUAAUACAUGCAAGUCGAGCGAACAGACCAUGAUCUUGCUCCUCUCACGUUAGCGGCGGACGUGUGAGUAACACGUGUAUAACCUACCUAUAAUACUGAUAUAACUUCGUGAAUCCGGAUCUAAUACCGUAUAAUAUAUUGAACCGCAUUGUUCAAUAGUGAAUUUCGGUUUUUCUGUCUCUUCUAGAUGGAUCAGCGCCGCAUUAGCUAGUUGGUAAGGUAACGGCUUACCAAGGCAACGAUGCGUAGACGAACUGAGAGGGUGAUAGGCGACAUGGGAAGGGAGACAGGGACAAGAAGACUACGGGAGGAAGCAGUAGGGAAUGGUAGGCAAUGGGCGAAAGCAUGACGGAGCAAGGCCGAGUGAGAGAUGAAGGUGUUGGGAGCGUAAAAAUAUGUUAUUAGGGAAGAACAAAUGUGUAAGUAAACAAGGACGGAUUGACGGUAACUAAUAAGAAAGCAACGGCUAACUACGUG
rnacentral:rRNA from 1 species